rnacentral:rRNA from 1 species
UACGAAGGGGGCUAGCGUUGCUCGGAUUGACUGGGCGUAAAGGGCGCGUAGGCGGCGGACACAGUCAGACGUGAAAUUCCUGGGCUCAACCUGAGGGCUGCGUUUGAUACAUGUCUGCUUGAGUUCGGAAGAGGGUCGUGGAAUUCCCAGUGUAGAGGUGAAAUUCGUAGAUAUUGGGAAGAACACCGGUGGCGAAGGCGGCGACCUGGUCCGAUACUGACGCUGAGGAGCGAAAGCGUGGGGAGCGAACAGG